UUUUUUGUUUUUGUUUUAAAUACAGCUCACCUUCAUGCUCCAGUUUAUAAGAGCAGCUGCUUCAGUACAUCUAGUUUUUAUUGUUCCCAGACGCAGCUCAUUGGAGGACACAUUGUGCAUCACAGGACGGUGUUCCCCUUUUGAUUGGAGCGCAUCAUGAUCGGUUGCACAAGCGGAACGCCGAGGCGCAAAUCUGCGGGGAGGCGCAGAGAAUCCGACGUUUUGUGGCUGAUUUGACACACGCGAUGUGGUUACAGCGGAGGGUCGCUGCUGAUUACUGCGGCGGGGAGUAUUAAAAACUGCAAGGAACAAAAUUAACGAGGAAACCAGAGCCGGUUCGUUUUUACGCACAGAUCCCCUCCGUUAAAUAAGUGGCAUUCAGGAUCAAUUGAGCGACCCCCACUCCUGUAUACACCCCACUUUUAUACUUUCUUUUCUUUCCUCGGCCCCUCUCCUCCUCCUCCCGCCUUUGGCCCAGCAAGAGAGUUUAGAAAAAGAGGCGUGGGUUCUAUUCAGCGUCCCCGACUCCUCUCCCCACACCCCUUCCCCAUCACCAGGCUUUCUGAAACCUAUCCAUGCCCCCUUGUCAGCCUGCGUCCAGGGUCCAAUUAGCGCUUUGUGCGGACUUUGCGGGUCUUCCAGAGGCUGGGAGGGCUCUCGCUUCACUUGGAGGGGCUUUCCAGUCAAAGCUAAGUGUAAUAAUUAUUAUGACAUGCGGGCGCCCUGGUCCCUUUAACCACUUUCUGUGUUUUUAUGCUUCUGUGUAAGGGCUUCACUGUCCGGGAGGAUGAUGAAAACAAAAAAAGUGACAGGAACCAAGACUAAUUUCUGAGGGAUGGAAAAAUUAUCUUCUAAUUUGUUUCUAAUGAAAAACAUUUUUUUCCCCAAAGAAAAAGAGAAAAACACUUAUCCCCACUUUUUUUUU